UGGUGGAGUGAUUUGUCUGGUUAAUUCCGAUAACGAACGAGACCUUAACCUGCUAAAUAGACACGCGAACCUUCGUUCGCGCUGCGCUUCUUAGAGGGACUGUGAGCAUCUAGCUCGCGGAAGUUUGAGGCAAUAACA
rnacentral:rRNA from 1 species